rnacentral:rRNA from 1 species
GGUCCGACGGUGAGGGACGAAAGCCAGGGGAGCAAACCGGAUUAGAUACCCGGGUAGUCCUGGCCGUAAACGAUGUGGACUUGGCAUUCGGGUGGCCAUGAGCUGUCCGAGUGCCGUAGGGAAGCCGUUAAGUCCACCGCCUGGGGAGUACGGUCGCAAGGCUGAAACUUAAAGGAAUUGGCGGGGGAGCACUGCAACGGGAGGAGCGUGCGGUUUAAUUGGAUUCAACGCCGGAAAACUCACCGGGGGAGACUGCCGUAUGUGGGCCAGGCUGAAGACCUUGCCCGAAUAAUAGGCAGAGAGGUGGUGCAUGGCCGCCGUCAGCUCGUACCGUAGGGCGUUCUGUUAAGUCAGGUAACGAGCAAGACCCCUGCCCUUAGUUGCUACUUGUUUCUCCGGAGACAAGGCACACUAGGGGGACCGCUGGCGCUAAGCCAGAGGAAGGAGGGGGCAACGGUAGGUCAGUAUGCCCUGAAUCCUUCGGGCUACACGCGCGCUACAAAGGCUGGGACAAUGGGUUGCCACCCCGAAAGGGGGAGCUAAUCUCUAAACCCAGUCGUAGUUCGGACCGAGGGCUGAAACUCGCCCUCGUGAAGGUGGAUUCCGUAGUAAUCGCGUAUCAACAUUGCGCGGUGAAUAUGCCCCUGCUCCUUGCACACACCGCCCGUCAAGCCAA